UCUUUCCUAUAUAAAGAGUACCCUGGUAUUGCUAUGUCCCAGUCAUUUUUCUCAUUAUACCAUGUCUCAGUAACAGCGACUAAAUCUACACUAUCAGUUGCCAUUAUUGCCACAAGUUCAUGGAUCUUAUUCCGUAAACUGCGAGCAUUUGUAGACAUGACUCUAAGCUUAUCAUUUUUUAACACACUUGCUACAGGCACCUUCUGUCCU